rnacentral:tRNA from 1 species
GUCUUCGUGCUGUAAUUGAAUCACGUCCGGCUGGCAAUCGGGAGGUCCAGAGUUCGAAUCCUAGCGAAGGCA